CGAAAAUACAAUGUAUGUUUGAUUUUUAAUUAAACUAUGAUAAAUAUUUUUACCAUUAAAGGUAAAAAAACUUAUGAUACGAAAUAUGACACUUCACACUGUUAAAACUUCUCGUACUUUUACGGAAUUAUUUUCUGUUAUUUGUAAGGAAACUAUCCAUUGAACAAAAUUGAACGGAAGUUUUCCUUCUUUUAAAAUAAAUUUUGAAACACGGAUAUUUUUGUUGGAAAAAAGAAUGUUUUAAUGACAAUGAUGAGGAUUCUUAAAGGUAUUGGCAGGCUGUACCUGACGACUUACCUUCCUGCAAUGAAAUUAAAAGAACAAAAAAUUUCAAUAUUGAUUAGUCUAUUAUAA